AAAAAUGAAUCAAAUCAUCAUCAACCAAUGCUAAACAGAAGAGAAAUGAAGAUUACAAGUCAACAAGUCAAACAUAUUUUUUGGUAUUUUUUGAAUUAAAAUAAAAUAAACAAAAUAUGGUCAAACCUCAAAUUUUAUUCAAAUCAACUUCAACGAGUCCAAUUAAAUUCUCAUAGGUCUAACAUGGUCAAACAUACUUUGACAAAUUUUC
rnacentral:lncRNA from 1 species